AGUGAAUGAUUUUAUAUUUCGCGUAAAAUUAAAACAAAAUUUUAGAAAAUUUCUGCGGAAAAUUACAUUAUCACCUAAACAAAAUGAUAAUUGUGUACUUGAUUUGUUACUCGCAUUUCAAUGCACAGAAAAUCGCAUAUAUAUAACACUUUGAUCAAAAAGUAAGAUCAAUAUUCAAGUUAUAUUGCGCAGGUAUAUCCAAUAUCAGAUAUAUUUCUUUUCUACACUGGUAGCACUGCGAUGGACAUCUAUACGUCAAAUAUUUCUCACUAGCAAGAGGUUAAAUUUGAGAAAAGUUCCUUCUUUAUUGAAAACUUACUAAAAUCACUUUUUCGAAUCAUGUUAUACUUUGGUAAAAAAUUGAAAAAAGUCUUCUCUAAGGAAAGAGGAAAAGAGUCUUCUCUUGCGAUCUAUGGUGAAUUUUAACCUUGAAUAAAAUUAGGGUGUAAAAACAAAUUUGUAUUUAAUUAGCAAAGACACGUACCAUCUAUAGAGUUCUACAAAGACCUCAACGUAACUCGAUGAAAUAGUCAGUAAAGCUUUCGUUUACACUGUGCAUACAAAUGAGUUUUUUAAGGAUUGUCUUUGCAAUUUUGAAGCUUUAUUCAGAGAAAUUGGUAAAAAAGUAUUUUAUUUUGAAGUAAUUUUCAUCAUUAGCUAUGACUUUUCCCUAUCUUUCAGGCAAUUUUGCUAUUCUAGCUUAAAAGACGUAUCGGGUAUCGUCAUAAGACUCGCAGCCCUGUUCGAAUAAACAAUAAGUCAUCUAUUGAAACCUUUGUUAAUCAAUAAGAAUGACAUCUGCUGGCAAUAGCAGGAAGGGUUGGAACAAACUUUAAAACACCACACCCAGCUGACCCUCUCCCAUGUGGUCAUGAAGAAUAUUCAACCUUAUCGUCGAUUUUAUUCGUCCGCAGAGUCUCUUUAAUGGUUAUUUGUAGGAGAUGCCGAACUAUUCUUUGAAUCAAUCAGAAGAAGUAAAUUGUUUCUGGCACAAAACUCGAUCUAUUUAAAGCCCUAAGAAACAACGUUGUGCACACUUCAAUGCAAUAAGUUAUAUAAGUGCGUAUUGCUUAAAGACAGACCAUACUUUCAAAUGAAGAAGUCACAAUUUUAUUCUAUAACCUAACUACAUAAAUUACAAUCUUUUCCACCUAGCCGGACCGAACUAAUUUGUACUCUUAACACUUGGAAUGUGCAACAAAUUGAAAGAAUUUAAAACUCUCCAAUAUGAAGGUUCAAGAAAGCAGAAGAAUAUCAUGAAGCCUAACAGUACUAACUGCAAUCUUUUCGAUCGGAUUGGACGGAACUAAGUUGUACUCUGAAUAUAGUUGGGUUUGGAAUGCGGAAGGUACAACAAAUCGAAAGAAUUAAAGCUCGCCUAUGCGCAGUUUUAAGAAAACGGAAGAGCAUUUUUCCUCGUGGCAGCCAAGGUAACGGUGUUAGAAACUGUCAAAAGUUGAGCGGGAAUAGGAAACUAAAACUUGAUGCCUACUUUUCAAGAAGUAAUUUUUCCAUAGUCGACUGCCAUAAACACAUUCAACUUCAGAGACUUACAUUAGAAGAUGUUAUCGAACAAACUCUUAGUUCACUUUUUUUUCAAAUCAUUUAUUAUAGACAUUUUCCUACAAAAUCCAUCCAAGCAUUAACCAAAACAUUUGAAAUUUUCUUUAUCCUCCAAAUUCCUCCUUCAGUAUUCAGUAUAGCAUUGGUAAAUAUCUUCGCUAAUUGAUUUCGAAAUUAUUCUCAGACCCUUAAAUAAGAUAUUGUACAAAUAAUUCACACAUUCAUGUUAAAUCACAAAUGAUUGUAAAAGCUAUGCCGAUCGGCUCUGUAGAAAAAAAAAAAAAGAAAGAAAAAAAGUAAUUUGCCAGAAGAGAAAUAUUUCGUAAUUUGUAUGUGUGAUCGUUGAUGAGCAUUAAAGACCAAGCAGUGCAUUAUUCUCUCGCUAAGUUUGUAUAACGAAAUGCAUUUAUUUAAAGCCGUCAUAGCGGAAGUAGCGUUUAUUGCGCUAAUGGCUACAGGAUUUUCCAUAUAUGCAUGAGUGUAAUAUUUAUUUAGAUCAUUAAAAAAACAAUUUAAAAAAAAAAAAAAAAGUGUACAACGAUUAAAGUCCAUAGUUAACAUAUGGCUUUUCAUUGCUUUCAAAUCAGGCAUUGAUGAAGUAAAUCCAUCGAUCGACCAACCAUUCAUACUUGCAUAUGUAUGCACAUAUAUGUAUGUAUGUAAUUUUGUGUUUGCAUUUGCAGGCGACCUUGAAUAUGAUGUUUUCAUUUUAGCCUACAUGCACUAACCAAACGAUGUUGUUUUUUUGCCAUUCUUGUGGUUGCUGUUUAAAGAUAAAAAAAAAAAAAA